rnacentral:rRNA from 1 species
UACACGCUGUGACUAGCAUAUCAAUAAGCGGAGGAAAAGAAACUAACAAGGAUUCCCCUAGUAACGGCGAGUGAAGCGGGAAGAGCUCAAAUUUGAAAUCUUAAAGGGUUUCCCUUUACGAAUUGUAGUUUAAAGAAGUGUUUUCUGUUGAGGUUUUGGUAAAAGUUCUUUGGAAUAGGACAUCAUAGAGGGUGAGAAUCCCGUAUUUGACCUUUACUUUCAACUUUGUGAUACACUUUCAAAGAGUCGGAUUGUUUGGGAAUGCAGUCCAAAAUGGGUGGUAAAUUUCAUCUAAAGCUAAAUAUUGGCGAGAGACCGAUAGCGAACAAGUACCGUGAGGGAAAGAUGAAAAGAACUUUGAAAAGAGAGUUAAACAGUAGCGUGAAAUUGUCAAAAGGGAAGCGUUUGACACCAGUGUUGUUUUUCUGAAAAUCAAUUAAAGAACUGUUUAUGCUAAGCUUGUUUAGACUUUAUCAGCUAUCUGUUUAGUUUUGAGCUUUUCUUUAAUGCAGCUUUUCAGUUAACAAGUCAACAUCAAUUUCUUUUGCUGUAAAAAAGCUUGAGGAAGGUGGCUUGAGAUUCGUCUUAAGUGUUUAUAGCCUCUUGCCUAUGCAGUCGGAGAGAUUGAGGUCUGCAGCGUAGAUCCUUCGGGGCUAAAUGCAUUUGUGCUAAGUUAUAGCAUUUUAUAGACAACUUGUUGACUAUGAUUUGUCUUGUAGCUUACUCGCUUAUGUUAUUUUACCUACGCUUAGGAUGUUGAAGAUGUAGCACAUCAU